rnacentral:lncRNA from 1 species
AGAUAAUUAAUUACAGAUGCAACCUGCACAUCAAACAUGUGUAACAUGCUAGAACGAACGGACAGUUCAGCCGGCAAGGUUUGAUCACCGCAAGGCUAUGGCUGAUGGCUCUGCGUCCACUCUACAGGGCGUCAUCACGAGCGGCUUUCCUUGCUGCAUUGCCUACGAGCUCAGCGUCACUAAGCUCACACCCAACAGCAACUGCAUCAAGAUGCUAACCUCUACGGCCCUUGUUUUCACUGAAUCAGAAAUUUCUGAGACCUUCCAUGCCCAGCAAGAUAUUUAGACAGCUGAGGCACUUACCACAGAGCACUG